CGGGGCGUGGCUCAGCUGGCUAGAGCGCUCGCUUCGGGUGCGAGAGACCGUGAGUUCAAAUCUCACCGCCCCGA
rnacentral:tRNA from 6 species